UUAUCUGUCCUAGUUUCUUUUUUGGGACUGAAAGAAUGGAGCCUUCUGGCCGACUGAACCAGAGGACCGGAUCGAUCCAAACUGAUAAUGAUACCAGGGUAGUAUCAGUAUCUGAUUUAUGUAAGAUUGUUAUUUUACAUUUUUUAAAUGUUUAAUUUCACAAAUAUUUUUGUUGAUAUAUAUUUGAAAAACACAACUCCAUCACUCUAUUGUGAAAUUAAAAAUAUAUAUUUUUUUCAGUUAACUAUAAGGCCCAUUAUUAGACAAAUAAAUAUUGAAAUAUAAGUUUUAUGCCGUAGUCUGGCCACUAGGUGUCAGUAAUGACAACGCAUUCAUAACACAUUUCAGUACAUCACAGUUACUCAGUUAAGGCAUGUCCGACAUGAUAGAUUGAAAAUAAGUUCUACUCCUAUUAUGUGUGACAUCCCACUAAACUUUGAUUGUCACUCUGGCUCAAGUCCAGGACUGAAGAGAAAGGACCCCCCCCCCCUCCAUGGAGUCAAAAACCAUCUCAAGGAAGUCAUUAAAACUUCAGCAUGAGGACAAGUCUUCCCUUCCUCUCUAAAUAUGAUGUAUUCGCCUGUAUUUCAGACCUGCAGUGAAGUCGGAGAGGUUGCCAUGGCAACUACAGAGAUGCUAUCUUACAAGGGGCUUUGGCACUGUUCCUUCUCCCCACUGCUUUGUUCCUCUUGAUGGAUCUGGGCAGCCCAGCGAACCGUGACCCUGCCAGCCCACCCCAACUGUACUUUCCAGAACAACCACACAAAGAUUCCACAGACUGACUUUGGGAGAGGGUGAGCAGGCUGCUCUCACAGAAGCUUUGCUUGCAGUCCAGCUGCCUGGGACACUUCCAGCCCGUCCUCCCACCUAUGUGACGGAUGCUGAGUUGUUAAAAGGAUGAAUGCAAUGAGUCACAGUCUGAGGAUGUGUUUAUGUGUAAGCAGCCAGUGCACAUGGUCAUCGUGAUAGGACAUGCUGUUCACCAGCAAAUGCAGACCUGGGCACCGCCUCUGGUGCGUCCUCCCAUGAUCAUGUCGAAGUAUCCUUGAGCAAGAUACUCCGCCCCCAGUUGCCGCGUCAUCAUAAGCACCCGCACCUGCUUUCAACCAUGGAGACUCAUCUGCAUGUUCACCCAAAAAGUGAUAGCAAGGACACCCGUUUCAUCAUCAGCUCGAAUCAGCUCACCCGAACAGAAAAUAUGGGAGGUCGUCGGGCCUGAUGAGCAAGGAGUUCAUUCAGCAGAUCGAGAAGAAAUUAAUGUGCAUGCAGAUAGUUGAUGUUAUCAUCUGACUGUUCUUUGUCAUCACUUGUGUGGUUGUGGUGGUUUUUGGCCAACGUUUAACUACAAAUGUUUGCCUUGUGUACCACUGUAUAAUUGCAGUAGCCAUGUUUUGUGUGUGUGUGUGUGUGUGUGUCCAUCCACAACACAGGUGCAUUUUAUUGAUGGAAAUUUGAAUGCAUAGGAAUACUGUAACGAUAAUGAUAAAGCAUGGCCCUGUGUUGAUCUUUUUGCAAUUCCUGGAAAGCUGAAAACAUCUCACUUCCUGCAUUGCCAGCAUUACCCACCGCACUUGUCACCCAUUGAGCAUGUUUGGAAUGCUUUUGAUCGACAUAUACAGUAUUUGAGGCAAAUGUUGGUCACUAACAUAUUUAGAGAAAUUUGUGAAUAUAAGAGAGACAGGCCUAAAACCUGUUUUUUGUGGAGUGCCCAGUGGGGGAAAUAAGUAUUUGAUUCCUGCUUAGUCAGUUUACCCCCUUACAAAGAUGAACAUGUUACAAAAUGUCUAGAAAUUGGAAUUUACAGAAAUGUAUUAACAAUAAAGCGCACUCAAACUGAGUGGGAAAAAUGGUUUUAAAAAUAAAAAGUACAACAAAAAAAAGCCACAGGUAAAAGUAAAACUCACAAAGGUUGUCCAAAAAGCAAACUACACAUGCAAGAAGCAGAUCAAGACCAAAUGCUGGAGGACGGUCUAACUGUCUGGCGACUGAGGUGGGUCCAAGCAAGCCGUGCUUGGAAUAAUGAGAUGAUUGCUCCCAGGUGUGACCACAUGGCUCCGCCCACACAACCCCUUCACAUGCACUGCAACACAGAGAAGACAGGUGGCAGCAGAGGG